rnacentral:rRNA from 1 species
UACGGAGGGUGCAAGCGUUGUCCGGAUUUAUUGGGUUUAAAGGGUGCGUAGGCGGCCCGUUAAGUCAGUGGUGAAAGCCUCCAGCUCAACUGGAGAACUGCCAUUGAUACUGGCGGGCUUGAGUACAGAUGAGGUAGGCGGAAUUGACGGUGUAGCGGUGAAAUGCAUAGAUAUCGUCAAGAACACCGAUAGCGAAGGCAGCUUACCAAGCUGUAACUGACACUGAGGCACGAAAGUGUGGGGAUCAAACAGG